GGGAGCGAAGCUCAGAUGGUAGAGCGCUAACUUAGCAUGCUAGAGUUACGGGGAUCGAUACUUCGUGCCUUCA